rnacentral:lncRNA from 1 species
UAAUUUCUUUUCCUUGAAACGAUUUUCAAUACAACUUUAAGCUUUCAUUUCCUAAAAGACAAAUGAAGUGUCCGCUUAAGUUACAAAUUGAUAUGCAUUUCAAGUUAGCUCAUCUACUAUAGUUUGCUUUGUCUAUUUCAGUGCUGACAACCUUUCUUUCACUGACCAUUGUUGUGCUCUUUUUUUUUUUUUUUUGCCUAAAGAUCUGGGUUCAUCUUUUUGAGGAAUGGUUCUCAUGCUUGCGUCGACAUAUGUUCUCACAGCAAUGAUAGCUGCUGGUUGUUUUAUUGCCGCUUUGCUUAUCGUGUUCUUCCUUGCAAAAAAUGUAUGAAACUAAGUAAGAAAAACUUGCAUUUAUGUGUUGUACAAUAAUAGAAUUUAAUCAAGUCCUUGAACUUAUUAUAUCUCAAGCUGUACCUUCUACUUGUGUAAUCUAACUUGCUUUACUUUCUUGAACAGUGGACACUUCGAGGACUUUGCAUUGGUUUGUACAUUCACUAUCCUGAUAAGUUUUGGUACUUGAUUUACAACUGCUUUUUAUGUUUAGUCAUAGAUCUCAACAGACUGGAUAUUGCAGGAUUUAUCGUUUUCAUUGGUGGAAUUUGGGUUCUGCAAAUACUAUAGGAGAACAAUUUAAAGGUAGAAGACCUUUAAAUGUAAGAAGGAAAGAGAUUUUGUUUAGUU